UACGUAGGGUGCGAGCGUUAAUCGGAAUUACUGGGCGUAAAGCGUGCGCAGGCGGUGAUGUAAGACAGUUGUGAAAUCCCCGGGCUCAACCUGGGAACUGCAUCUGUGACUGCAUCGCUGGAGUGCGGCAGAGGGGGAUGGAAUUCCGCGCGUAGCAGUGAAAUGCGUAGAUAUGCGGAGGAACACCGAUGGCGAAGGCAAUCCCCUGGGCCUGCACUGACGCUCAUGCACGAAAGCGUGGGGAGCAAACAGG
rnacentral:rRNA from 1 species